rnacentral:snRNA from 1 species
AUCACUUCUCAGCCUUUUGGCUAAGAUCAGGUGUAGCAUCUGCUCACUCCAGUUUAAAUUAACAGUUGUUCAUUACUUUCAUUUAUUUCCUUUUUAUCUUUUGCUGUUGUUUUAGAGAAAAGAAAGAACACAA